GAAAUCUAUUAGCAUACAAAUGUUUGCAAAUGAUCUUUUCAGAUCUUCUCAGAAAUUAAUCAAGUCCAUGGAAUGGAUAUAGACACGAAGAUAAUUCAAGGACUAUCAGAGGUAGAGAGGCGAGGCAGGGGUGAGGGCAUCAUCCUGCUAUAUUGACAGUCCCCGAAGGACAAUACAGAAGAGGACUGGAGACCACAGCAGCGAUCCUGCUCUUGCCCAACCUCUUCAAUGAGGACCCGCGUGGCCUUUAUGUCCGGGACAAGAUUUCACCGCUCUUCACUCCUUUACUGCACAUCGGUGGAAAUCCAUUUCACCAUGAGAGUGAAUUCCCGCUGGCCUUUGAUGGGGAGAACAUCCACGCCCUCGAGGACGUCCCCAUAGGAUUUGGGGCUCUGCUACGGCUGAAUUUUUUAUUUUCCCUUAAAUUUGCCCAAAAUGUCAGAAAAACAAUUAUGUUGUUAUGUUACCGUGUUCUGGGGAGAAGAGAAGUUGGGGGGAAGUUACCAGGGCCGGUCAUAAAGAUGGCAAACUUCCUAACAUAACUAAAUGGAUAUGAUAUACACACUAAAGCUGAAAAAUCUGUAUUUAGCUUCAAGUCUACAAUAUUGUUAGUUUACCUAUGAUUCAUUUGUAUGUAUGUUUUUAUUUUACAUCAUUAUUUGUACUUUUUAAAUGUC